GCUUCGAGGAAAAACCUGUUGAUACGUCAGGUUAUGCUAAAUAAGCAAGAGUUCUGUAUUGGCCUGAAGCUGUUUGCAAUGCACCAUUUGCAUGCCACUUUCAAGCAGGGACAUUAUUGCUACCUUUUAAAUCCAAAAAAGGGAACUGAUAUAUUUGCAAACACACAGAUACUCAGGAUGUGGCUGCUGUUUCCUAUCACAAACACGUGAUCUGAGUUGGUUGUUGUUUUUCCACACUGCAAAAGAAAGAAAUCCAGCAAGUUUAGGUGAAAUUGUUGGGUCACUGAAAGGUACAAUGAUCUUCCUGACAAGCUGGAUUCCUGUCCUAACUACGUUUCUGCUUCUCUUAUAUUUCUGGAGAGCAAAGGUCUCUGCCUCUGGAACAUCUGAGGAGGAGGCGAUAGACCCCAAGUAUGUUAUCAUAGGAGUUACCCUGGGAGUCUUCCUAGCAAUUGGUUUUUUAGCACUAAAGAUCUGCAUGAUCAAAAGGCAAUUGACUGACAAUGACUUUGUAGAUUCAGACAACAGAGUGGAUAAAAGGUAACUGCUGCCUUUGCUAGGACCUGUGGCAUUGCCAGUAAGGCUGGUGAGAUACAGCUUGCUCUUGUCACACGUGGAAUCCGCUGCGAUAAGGUAUGUUCUACAGAAGGGACCAGGUUAGGGUUACCAUAUUUCAGCAAGCA